UACGGGGGGGGCAAGCGUUGUUCGGAAUUACUGGGCGUAAAGGGUUUGUAGGUGGCUUGUUAAGUCAGACGUGAAAUCCCUCAGCUUAACUGGGGAACUGCGUCUGAUACUGGUGAGCUUGAGUGCAGGAGAGGAACGCGGAAUUCCAGGUGUAGCGGUGAAAUGCGUAGAUAUCUGGAGGAACACCGGUGGCGAAGGCGGGUCACUGGGCAAUAACUGACGCUGAGGAGCGAAAGCGUGGGGAGCGAACAGG
rnacentral:rRNA from 1 species